GAUCGCAGUGAUGACUGUUGAAAAAUCAAGCUCAACAGACCGGAAAACAGGUUCAUCCUGUGUGUGUCGAUAUUUCUAAUCUGAGCGAUC
rfam:Spinacia oleracea cultivar SynViroflay scaffold5552.con0023.1, whole genome shotgun sequence.